AACGAACGCUGGCGGCAUGCCUAACACAUGCAAGUCGAACGAGACCUUCGGGUCUAGUGGCGCACGGGUGCGUAACGCGUGGGAACCUGCCCUUAGGUUCGGCAUAACUCCCCGACAGGGGUGCUAAUACCGGAUAAUGUCUUCGGACCAAAGAUUUAUCGCCUUUGGAUGGGCCCGCGUUGGAUUAGCUAGUUGGUAGGGUAAAAGCCUACCAAGGCGCCGAUCCAUAGCUGGGCUGAGAGGAUGAUCAGCAACACUUGGACUGAGACGCGGCCCAGACUCCUACGGGAGGCAGCAGUGGGGAAUAUAGGAAAACCGGCGAAGGCCUGAUCCAGCAAUGCCGCGAGAGUGAUGAAGGCCUUAGGGUUGUAAAGCUCUUUUAUCCGGGAUGAUAAUGACAGUACCGGGAGAAUAAGCUCCGGCUAACUCCGUG
rnacentral:rRNA from 1 species